AUUGAACGCUGGCGGCAGGCCUAACACAUGCAAGUCGAGCGGAGCGGCGGACGGGUGAGUAAUGCCUAGGAAUCUGCAUGGUAGUGGGGGAUAACGUCCGGAAACGGGCGCUAAUACCGCAUACUAUCAGAUGAGCCUAGGUCGGAUUAGCUAGUUGGUGGGGUAAAGGCCUACCAAGGCGACGAACCCUAGCUGGUCUGAGAGGAUGACCAGCCACACUGGAUCUGAGGGCCGUUCCAGACUCCGAGGGGAGGAAGCGUUGGGGUAUAUUGCGCAAGGGGGGCAAGUCGGAUGCAGCCAUGCCGCGUGUGUGAAGAAGGCCUUCGGGUUGUAAAGCACUUUAAGCGGGGAGGCGUUACCCGCAGAAGAAGCACCGGCUAACUCCGUGCCAGCAGCCGCGGUAAUAC
rnacentral:rRNA from 1 species